CAGCAGCCACGGUAAUACAGAGGGUGCGAGCGUUAAUCGGAUUUACUGGGCGUAAAGCGUGCGUAGGCGGCUUCUUAAGUCGGAUGUGAAAUCCCUGAGCUUAACUUAGGAAUUGCAUUCGAUACUGGGAAGCUAGAGUAUGGGAGAGGAUGGUAGAAUUCCAGGUGUAGCGGUGAAAUGCGUAGAGAUCUGGAGGAAUACCGAUGGCGAAGGCAGCCAUCUGGCCUAAUACUGACGCUGAGGUACGAAAGCAUGGGGAGCAAACAGGAUUAGAUACCCCCGUAGUCCCUGUCUCUUAUAA
rnacentral:rRNA from 1 species